GAAAAAUUUCAAUCUCAAACCUCUUUACCCCUGAAGAAUUCCAAGCUCAAAACCCUUUACCCCUGAAGAAUUCCAAGCUCAAAACCUUUUAACCCUGAAGAAUUCCAAGCUCAAAACCCUUUAGCCCUGAAGAAUUACAAGGUCAAAACCCUUUAUCCCUGAGGAAUUCCAAACUCAAAACCUUUUACCCCUGCAGAAUUCCAAGCUCAAAACCCUUUACCCCUGAAGAAUUCCAAGCUCUGAAAAAUUUCAAUCUCAAACCUCU